AUGAACGCUAGCUACAGGCUUAACACAUGCAAGUCGAGGGGCAGCAUGAACUUAGCUUGCUAAGUUUGAUGGCGACCGGCGCACGGGUGAGUAACACGUAUCCAACCUGCCGAUGACUCGGGGAUAGCCUUUCGAAAGAAAGAUUAAUACCCGAUGGCAUAGUUCUUCCGCAUGGUAGAACUAUUAAAGAAUUUCGGUCAUCGAUGGGGAUGCGUUCCAUUAGGUUGUUGGCGGGGUAACGGCCCACCAAGCCUUCGAUGGAUAGGGGUUCUGAGAGGAAGGUCCCCCACAUUGGAACUGAGACACGGUCCAAACUCCUACGGGAGGCAGCAGUGAGGAAUAUUGGUCAAUGGACGAGAGUCUGAACCAGCCAAGUAGCGUGAAGGAUGACUGCCCUAUGGGUUGUAAACUUCUUUUAUACGGGAAUAAAGUGAGGCACGUGUGCCUUUUUGUAUGUACCGUAUGAAUAAGGAUCGGCUAACUCCGUGCCAGCAGCCGCGGUAAUACGGAGGAUCCGAGCGUUAUCCGGAUUUAUUGGGUUUAAAGGGAGCGUAGGCGGACGCUUAAGUCAGUUGUGAAAGUUUGCGGCUCAACCGUAAAAUUGCAGUUGAUACUGGGUGUCUUGAGUACAGUAGAGGCAGGCGGAAUUCGUGGUGUAGCGGUGAAAUGCUUAGAUAUCACGAAGAACUCCGAUUGCGAAGGCAGCCUGCUGGACUGUAACUGACGCUGAUGCUCGAAAGUGUGGGUAUCAAACAGGAUUAGAUACCCUGGUAGUCCACACAGUAAACGAUGAAUACUCGCUGUUUGCGAUAUACAGUAAGCGGCCAAGCGAAAGCGUUAAGUAUCCCACCUGGGGAGUACGCACGCAACGGUGAAACUCAAAGGAAUUGACGGGGGCCCGCACAAGCAGUGGAGUAUGUGGUUUAAUUCGACGCAACGCGAAGAACCUUACCAAGUCUUGACAUCCCUUGACGAUGCUGGAAACAGUAUUUCUCUUCGGAGCAAGGAGACAGGUGGUGCAUGGUUGUCGUCAGCUCGUGCCGUGAGGUGUCGGCUUAAGUGCCAUAACGAGCGCAACCCUUAUCGAUAGUUACCAUCAGGUUAUGCUGGGGACUCUGUCGAGACUGCCGUCGUAAGAUGUGAGGAAGGUGGGGAUGACGUCAAAUCAGCACGGCCCUUACGUCCGGGGCUACACACGUGUUACAAUGGGGGGUACAGAAGGCAGCUACACGGCGACGUGAUGCUAAUCCCGAAAGCCUCUCUCAGUUCGGAUUGGAGUCUGCAACCCGACUCCAUGAAGCUGGAUUCGCUAGUAAUCGCGCAUCAGCCACGGCGCGGUGAAUACGUUCCCGGGCCUUGUACACACCGCCCGUCAAGCCAUGAAAGCCGGGGGUACCUGAAGUGCGUAACCGCAAGGAGCGCCCUAGGGUAAAACUGGUGAUUGGGGCU
rnacentral:rRNA from 1 species